rnacentral:pre_miRNA from 14 species
UGUGUGUGUGUGUGUGUGUGUGUGUGUGUGCGCGCCCGGUGACUUAUCUCUCCCAGUCGCAGGCUGUGGAGCCCCGCGGAACAUUCCACCAGCUCUGAACACUCCGCCAGCUGGCACACACACACACACACACACACACACACA